AGUGUUGGUGGAAGAAGAGAACUUAAGGCCAGAAGUUGUGUGUGUGUGUGUGUGAAUUAAGAAAAAGAAGAGAAGUACAGGAGAUAUCAUUAAAUUAUAUAGUUCUCUCUUCGACUGUAGCCUUAUAACAGGGACAUUAAUAGAAUUAACAGUCGCGACUCAGGGAUAAGCCUGAGACACAUGGAGAGAACAUCCUGAUCAAUCUGGUCUUUGCUGCUACCCUGGUCAACAGCCUGAGCUGGAUACCUGGCUGACAAGUACCACCUUUUUCCUACACAGAUGACAACCCAGCCCAUGAGCACCAGGAAAAUUAAACAAAAAGCCGAAAGAAAAAAGAAAAGAAGAAGUCUGGGAGUGAAGUUAUAUGCUUAAAGGCAUGCAUCUAGCAAAUGGCAAAAAAAAUGGAUGAAGACACAAGACUGAUUGUCACUAAAAACCAUGUGGUAUGUUUGAGCAAGAUGCCACUGCUACUCCUUCACUUGCUCAUUCUGCAAAAGUUUGUAGAUCUUCUGCAAGGAGAACGGCAUUGUUAACUACCUACAGGAAGUGGUCCAUCUUGGGCUAGUGGCAAAUGGAAAGGCUCUGUUUAUGAUAGUCGCUCAAGGACCCAGAAAAACAAGCAUCCAUCACUGGAAUGUCAUCAGUUAUUGACUCAAAAAAGACCUUUGACCCAACUCAACCUGACAGUAGUCAUAAAUAUCUCCUAAUGUGUUUACUGGCUUCAUUGGUUAUAUUUAUUUUUUCUUCUGUGAAAUGCCUACUUAUGCUUCUUGCCCUUUUUCUAUUAGAUUUGCCCACUUUUAAUAAUGAGUAGAAAUUAUUUAUAUGUUCUUGAGUUUAAUACUUUAUUAGUUACAUAUACUGCAAAUAUCUCUUAACUGUUUCUCCAUUCUUUUCAUUUGGUUCAAGAUAUGUGUUGAAAAAAGGAAAAGUUUUUAGUUUUAUUAGAACUCAAAUGAUCAUCCUUUUCUUACAUAGCUAGUGCUUUUUGUAACUUGUUUAUGAAAAGACUGCCCAGCCCAUAUUCUAAGAGAUAAUCAUCUAUAGUUUUUCCAAACAUUUUACUAUGUAGAUUUUGAAAUUUAAGCCCUUUAUUUGUCUCAAUUUGAUAUUUGUAUAUAAAGUGACAGAGAGGUCCAAUAUUUUUAUUUUAUACAAGAAUAAUUAUUUUAUUAAGUUCCAUUUUGGGAAUAAUUCCUUUUCUCUCCACUGAUCUGAUAUGCCACACAUACAUUGGUGUUUCACAUAUGUGUAAAUCUGUUUUAAAACUGUCCAUUGUGUUACUGGUCAAUUUGCCUUUCUAUUUCCAAAUAUUGUUUUAAAUAAUAUAAGAAGUCUUGAUAUCGAGAAGAAUAAAUUUUUCCUUAACUUUUUCUUGGCUUUUUAAAAUUCCCAUGGAGUCUUCAAAAACUUUUGUUAGAAUAUUUCCAAGAUGUAUGUUUUAAUACCCUCCAAUCAUAUAUAUAUAUAGUUUAUUUUCUAUGUUUGUAAGUAGUAUUAUGGGAAGACAAGUACAUCUUAAAAUUAUUCUUAGUGUUUAUCUACCUUGCUAAAUGCUUUUCAUAAUUAAAUUGAUUUAUUUG
ensembl:lncRNA novel transcript